CUACACAUGCAGUCGAGCGGUAACAGAAAGUAGCUUGCUACUUUGCUGACGAGCGGCGGACGGGUGAGUAAUGCUUGGGAACAUGCCCUUGAGGUGGGGGACAACAGUUGGAAACGACUGCUAAUACCGCAUAAUGUCUACGGACCAAAGGGGGCUUCGGCUCUCGCCUUUAGAUUGGCCCAAGUGGGAUUAGCUAGUUGGUGAGGUAAUGGCUCACCAAGGCAACGAUCCCUAGCUGGUUUGAGAGGAUGAUCAGCCACACUGGAACUGAGACACGGUCCAGACUCCUACGGGAGGCAGCAGUGGGGAAUAUUGCACAAUGGGCGAAAGCCUGAUGCAGCCAUGCCGCGUGUGUGAAGAAGGCCUUCGGGUUGUAAAGCACUUUCAGUCAGGAGGAAAGGGUGUGAGUUAAUACCUCACAUCUGUGACGUUACUGACAGAAGAAGCACCGGCUAACUCCGUGCCAGCAGCCGCGGUAAUACGGAGGGUGCGAGCGUUAAUCGGAAUUACUGGGCGUAAAGCGUACGCAGGCGGUUUGUUAAGCGAGAUGUGAAAGCCCCGGGCUCAACCUGGGAACUGCAUUUCGAACUGGCAAACUAGAGUGUGAUAGAGGGUGGUAGAAUUUCAGGUGUAGCGGUGAAAUGCGUAGAGAUCUGAAGGAAUACCGAUGGCGAAGGCAGCCACCUGGGUCAACACUGACGCUCAUGUACGAAAGCGUGGGGAGCAAACGGGAUUAGAUACCCCGGUAGUCCACGCCGUAAACGAUGUCUACUAGAAGCUCGGAACCUCGGUUCUGUUUUUCAAAGCUAACGCAUUAAGUAGACCGCCUGGGGAGUA
rnacentral:rRNA from 1 species